AGUAGUAAUUAAAGAAUUAAAAAAUAAAUUUGAAAUAAAAAGAAAUAUUAAUACAAAAUAUUGAGAAAAAUAACAAUUGUAAGAUCAGUAAUUGAUUUGUUGGAUUUUAUAUUUUCACUAUCCAUCACAUUUUUAUACACUCAUCCACCACCAUAAAAAACGUACUGGUAUGAAUUAGAAUGGUACCCACAGAUUGAUGGAUUUGAAUACUUGGUCACCAUGGAGUGGCACUAUUUGAAAGGAUUGAAAGAUGUAGAGUUGUUGGAGGCAGCGUGUCAUUAGGGAAGGUGUUCAUGUUUCAAAACGCCCAAGCCAGGCCCAGUGUAUAUGCCAUCCUGUUCCCAGAGGAUACAAUUUUGAAACUCUCAUCUACUUCUCCAACACCAUGUCUGCCUGUGUGCUGCGAUGCUUCAUGCCAUGAUGAUAAUGGACUAACCUCUGAAGUGUUAACCACUCUCAGUUGAAUGAUUUCCUUUGAAAGAGUUGUUCAUGGCAGCAGAACACUGACUAACAUAUAAAUAAAUGACAGAAUUAAAUCUAGAAAAUUAUUAGAUUUAUAACUUCUUUCACAUUUCAUUUUUCUUCAUCUACAUUCUGUCCUUCAUCCCCUAAUAUUAUUUCUUUUAGUCUCCUUUCUAAAUUCUAUGCUAUACUCACAUUUGCAUCUUUGUAAAUAUAUACAUAUGUACAUUAUAAGAUGGAAUCCCAAUAUGAAGAAGAGCAUACAUAGUUUUUUUUUUUAUUUCCGAAAAUAGAUGCCCUUACUUAAUAUUGUAGUUAGAGGAGAAAGGGAACAAAGGAAGAAAGACACAAAAGGAGGAAGCAGAUGAAGUAGUAAGAUGGAGGAAGAAAAAUGUGAGUUGAGGAAAACAGAAGGAAAUGCAGAGGGCAAGAGUCAAGGAUCAUUUUGAUUUACUGCCCAGCUGUGCCAACUGUUUUCUCUAUGUACUCAGGUAUACUCAGCUGUAAAAGGAAGAUGAAAUAACUAGGUUAAUGGACAGAAAGCUCUCAGAACAAUGAUUACCAAACAGCAAAAGCCCAUUUGUAAGUGUAAACUGUCACUUUUUUUUUAGUUUAGAAAAUACACUUUUUGAGUUUGUAUAGUCUGUGAUUAAGGUUUGCAGAGACUGUUAAUGUAACAAUGGCCCUAUCAAUCUUUGUUUUCUUCUGCAUAUACUUACGCCUUCUAUGAAGGUCUGACUUCAUAGAAGGCCUAUAAAAGAUGGCUGGGACUUCUCAAGAAGUAUGAAUAACAGUUAGAUAUCCAUUUGUAACCAAUAGGAAAAUCUAGGCAUAGGAAAAUUUGUCAGUCACAUAGUACAUUGUACGAGAUUUCCUGAGACAUUGUAGGUAAAAAGCAAACAAAAUAGAAGAUUGUGCCCUAUGAAACAGUAGCAUUUCAAAGUUGAGGAGAAAAGUGAAAACUACAAUGGAAAUCAGAAGAGAAGGAAGAAAAUAUGGCAUCUAUAUGAUAAAGGAGUUUCUAAAAUAGUAAUGAUCUAUUAUUGUACUCAUAAAGUAAGUACAUCCUUCAAUAAUACUGAGCACACAAAAUUUCCAGUAAGUUUCACUAUAAGCAUUCAAAACAUAUAAUGUCUCUUCCCAGCUCCUAGAAGCUUUUGCCGCACAUUCCUCUCUACUUUAUUCACAUGGCUUCUUUUUCUUUAUGAACUGCCUUGUGUGUCUAAUUUAAAUUGCAAUAUUUGAAUCUACUAUUUGGGUUUGUUCCUUUAUCUGAUAUGCUGCUCAUAUGUUUCAUAAUGUGCCUAGUAUCAAACAUAUUUUUAAAAUAAAAUAGAACAUAUCUAGGUGCAUCUUAUAGUCAACUAUGUCUACUAGAUAUCAGUAGACUAAGUUGUCUCAAGAAAAUGAAUUUUUGAAUUUAAUAAUAACUGACAAUGUUGUUAUACAUGCAUGUGGUUACUCACACAAAACUGAUUAGUUUAUGGUUUGAAAUUGAAUGGACAUGAGACAUGUACUACACUAACCUUUUCUUUUCACUUUCUCCGUCCAUGGGGCUUUGGGAAAAAAAUAUUUUCCAGUUUUAAUAAGCUUCCAGAGUAUUCUAUUUACAAUACUAGCACCUGUUAAGAUCUAGCAUUUGAAUAGUUUAUUUGAACUUGACAAAUAUUCUAUCAAGAAGCACAUAAUAGAUAUAUUCCUCAAUGAAUUUUCAGUCUUAAUGUAAACAAUAUUCCUUCCCUUUAUGACAAAAUUAUUCUCCAAGAAUAACCUGCUCUCUUCUGGUUUCUGUUUCUAACACCAAUUUUUGUGUAUUAAUUAGACUAUGAUGUUCCUGUGUGACCAGAACUCAUGGCUUAUUCAUCUUCAUACUCUCUUCACUAAACACAGUAAUUGACAGGCGGUAGAUUCUUGGUAAAUGUUCACUUGAUUAUUCACUUUAACACAUUUAUUAUGAAUGUGGAUUCAAUGCAAUGAAGUUCACAUUAUCUAGGAAAAGAUGAAUUGCCAGAUGUUGAAACAACAGAUUAAAUUAAGAAGUAAUCAUCAAAGUUUAUCCAGUUGUGAACCGUGAGAGGUACAAUAACAAGUGGACUGGAAGGAUAUAACCAAUGGUACAAUAGUGGCAUGAAUGUUAUUGGAACAAUCAACAAUCUUCUGAUUAAAUGUGAUGGUGAAGAUAAAGUGAGAACAUGGAUUACAUCCCUCUUUCCUUUCUAUGGUCAAAUCUGAAGCAAAAACAGCUAAAACCCAGAUAUUGUCUCACAUUAAUCCUGGAGUUUAACAGUUGGCUGGAAUGACCAGUGAGAGUUCUACAUACUCCUGCAUCUACUCCCCCAGUACUGGGAUUAUAUGCUUGUACCACCAUCUUUGGAUUUUUACAAAAGGAAGAAAACUGUGAUACUGGGCAUAAGUUGACUGUUGGAGACCUCCAAGCCCAUCCCUACAGUGACACAUCUCUUCCUACAAGGCCACUAAUAUUCCAAAAAAGACACAGCUCCUAAUAGUGCCACUCUCUUUGAAGGCCAUUUUGUUUCAAACCACUACUGUGAUCAUGUGUGUUUAUAAUAAAUAGAAUCUAUGAAGCAAAUCCAAUGCAUAAGUGCUUAGAUAAUAGGUAAUCAUAGGAAUAGAUUUUAUUUGAUUUUUUGGGACAAUGUCGCAUGUCACUGGUUGACCCUGAACUCUGUGUUCAAGGAUGACUUUGACUACUUAAACUUACAUAUUCACAUUCUUAAAGGCAUGUGCUACUACGCUUGGCUGUGAACAGUUUAGAUGGUAGACUAGACAAAUAAAAAUAGAAAAAUUAUUUGGAAUGAAGUUCUAGAAAUUUUUCAUAGUAUACAGGACAGAAAGAUAAAGAUUUUAAUGUUUCAGGCUAAAUGAUAGACUAUCCAGUAAGUGUCUAACUGUAAUUAAUAAUGGAAAAACAUGCUAAAAAUAAACAAUACAAGUAAUAUCUUGAGUUUUCUAGAACUUGUGAAAUAUAUAAAGGUAAAGAAUCAAUAUGCACAGAAUAGACUGAGUAGAACUAAUUGAAAGCAAUUUACAACUAGUCAUUUGUCAGGGAAAUGAGACAUAAAAGUCAAAGAAAGGAAGCAAAAGAAGACAUAUUACUUACCAAGGAAUUAAAAUAGACUGACAACAAAGCUUUUAGCAGGAACAGUGUAUUGUAAAAUACAGUGGAAUACUAUCGGAAAAGCAUUUAGAAAAAAAUUAUCUAUCAAGUACAGAUACGUCAAACAUUAUAUUUAGAUUACAUCAUUAUUUAUAUAAUGUUCUAAAUUUCCUUGUAUAAUUAGUAUCUCUCAAUAUUAUAUACUGAUUGAGUAAAUAAUUUCCCCAAGAAAUUGUUCUGAUAAUAGAGUUGAAGUUAAAUCUACAUCUUUGUUCAGCCCCAUGAAAACCUUUUCAUUUAAAGCUAUAUUCCAUCACACAGUUCUAGUAGAAUUGAUUGUAUUUUGAGUAGGAAUUAACAUCACAGGACUAUUACUAAUAAUAGUUACCCAUUAUUAUAACAUUAUAUUUUCCUAAUAUUAAUUUAAUAUUUAGUGUCUGGACUUGGAUAUGAAAUUGUGAAAAACAAAUGGAAUGUUGUUAUGAGGUGAUGUAAGAAAACAAUACUUUAGAAGGGGUAAUGAAAAGAGGCACAGAGCUAAAAAUGUGUCCAUACCCUGUAGACUAGUUUAGAUAACAGAUACUAUAUAGAAAGAAGAACCAUCAAAAGAAGUCUAUGAAGGACAGAUGAGGUAGUCACUUACUAAUAAGUCACUGCAAAAUCUUUGUCAUUAUGAAAUGACAUUAUUUUGGUCAUGCUUCUAGUUGAUUAGUGUGGCUAUUAAAUUUUGCAUAGCCUAGUGUUGUGAAAGGAACAUAGUUAAGGAAAAUGACUAAAAUUUUCUAUUAAUGAAAGAUAUAAGAGAGUAUUGACUUAAGGUUUCUGCAGUGGUUAAAGUUGUAGAGAGAUAGGAAUGUCCUUGACAUAUAUGGAUGAUAGAUAUAUAACUAGAUGUAUACUGAAAGGAGAUACUAACAUUGUCUACUUUCUAUUGUGAAAACUAGUCAAGAUGAUGGUUCCUGUGAUUUCUUAUAUUUACACAUUGUGCUAUUUUGUGGUGUAUGAGAGGAAGAGACACAGUGAUUCUCUGCAAUUGUGAAAUAAACAAAAUGGACGGUU